rnacentral:lncRNA from 1 species
CCCAAAGUAGCAAAAAAAGGCAAAGCCACAAGCACCAGUCAGUUCUAAAGAGCCAACUGAAACACAAAGUUAUAAUUGCUAGCUUGUGUGAAGACAUGCUUUUCUCCUUCCAUUCUUGUUUACAGUUACCUGAACCAAUGUCACUUUCAGAUGCGCAGGACAAUGCUGACUAUAGAUUAUUUCAGAAAAUACUCAAAUUGUGUCGUUUGCCAUUUCCCUUUUGCACUACAUAAAGCUGUUCCAUCUGCUGAGACUGCAAGUGAGACAAGUGGCAUCUGCCCAGGACCUUGAGACAUUCACACCAGGGAAGCAUUUUAUGUCUUCUCUUUGACACAUCUGAAUGGCCAGCAUCAUCGUCCUGUGCUUUGGGGCUGUUAUUAGGUAAAAUAAGGAUGAUAUGAACAUACGUGCUAUGAGACUGUAACAGGCUGGUG